rnacentral:lncRNA from 1 species
AUCGAUCUUGUGUCAGGUUUCUCGGUGAGCUAAUGAAAGAAGGAAGACGCUAAGUGGAAUCAAGACGAUGAAAUUUGUAGCUAACAGUUUUUUCAACAAACAAAAUUCUCUACUCCAUGAAUCGGUCAUUGCAUCAGGCAUUAUUCCACAUUUUCGAUUCAUAUUAAUUGCAUUAGAAGAAAGGAAAUGACCGUAGUGGAAUUUCUCGAAGCUUCCUGGUUUCUUGAAAGCCUUUUCAGAUGCACAGAUAAAUUUGAAAACACAUUAAGUCACUUACAGAUGAACUUGUUCGGAAGUUGAAUAAUCUUGACGACGCAUGAGCAUGAGUCAAUAUUCUCUGAAAUGCAACGUCAGUGAUAGUCUCAUAGUUGUACACUGAUUAGCCAUUCUCUUCUUACAUGAACAAUGUAGUAAGAAAACCAAUUCGAGAGGAAUGAAGAACAUUAUUCAUCGAAGGGAAAGAGAGAGAACCACCUUUCCGACGGCGAUGAACGAGAGCUUAC